AUCGCUUCUCGGCCUUUUGGCUAAGAUCAAGUGUAUUCUAUAUUUCAAAUAUAUAAUCUGAAAAGAUGCAAAGAUAAGAAAUUAGUAAAUUAAGGGCUGGGGAUUUAGCUCAGUGGUUCCAGUGCCUGCCUCACAAACUCAAGGAUCUGAGUUCGAUCCCC
rnacentral:snRNA from 1 species